CCUUUGUUAAAACGUGUGCUUUGAUGAGGAUGUAUGUAUGUAUGUAUAUAUAUAUAUAUAUGUGUGUGUUCAUCGGAGGUUGCCUGUAAAAUCUCUGUAUGAAGUAGCUUGUCUUUUCCCCUGCCCUGGAAGAAUCUGUGAAAUGGCGUUUAUUUUAAGAGGGGAUAUUUUGCAGAAAAGAAAAAAGACUUCAGCAUCCUGUUAUUAUGUCACUGGG